rnacentral:rRNA from 1 species
UACGUAGGGGGCAAGCGUUGUCCGGAUUUAUUGGGCGUAAAGAGCGUGUAGGCGGCCAUACAGGUCAGCUGUGAAAACUCGAGGCUCAACCUCGAGACGUCGGUUGAAACCGUAUGGCUAGAGUCCGGAAGAGGAGAGUGGAAUUCCCGGUGUAGCGGUGAAAUGCGCAGAUAUCGGGAGGAACACCGGUGGCGAAGGCGGUUCUCUGGGCCUUACCUGACGCUGAGAGCGAAAGCGUGGGGAGCGAACAGGAU